rnacentral:rRNA from 1 species
CAGUCGCCGCGGUAAAACGUAGGGUCCGAGCGUUGUCCGGAAUUAUUGGGCGUAAAGAGCUCGUAGGCGGUCUGUCGCGUCUGCCGUGAAAUCCUCAGGCUCAACCUGAGGCGUGCGGUGGGUACGGGCAGGCUAGAGUGCGGUAGGGGAGAAUGGAACUCCUGGUGUAGCGGUGGAAUGCGCAGAUAUCUGGAAGAACACCGAUGGCGAAGGCAGUUCUCUGGGCCGUAACUGACGCUGAGGAGCGAAAGCGUGGGGAGCGAACAGGAUUAGAUACCCCUGUAGUCCCUGUCUCUUAUAC